rnacentral:rRNA from 1 species
CCUACGGGGGGCUGCAGUGGGGGAUAUUGCACAAUGGGGGGAACCCUGAUGCAGCGACGCCGCGUGGGUGAAGGAGCGUUUCGGCGCGUAAAGCCCUAUCGGCAGGGAAGCAGAUGACGGUACCUGACCAAGAAGCCCCGGCUAACGACGUGCCAGCAGCCGCGGUAAUACGGAGGGGGCAAGCGUUAUCCGGAUUUACUGGGUGGAAAGGGGGCGCAGACGGCAAUGCAAGACAGGAGUGAAAGCCCGGGGCCCAACCCCGGGACUGCUCUUGUAACUGGCUGGCUGGAGUACGGGAGGGGCAGGCGGAAUUCGUGGUGUAGCGGUGAAAUGCAUAGAUAUUAGGAAGAACACCGGUGGCGAAGGCGGCCUGCUGGACUGUGACUGACGUUGAGGCCCGAAGGCGUGGGGAGCAAACAGGAUUAGAUACCCUUGUAGUC